GGGCAGAUGAGGCAAAUGGGGCUAAGGAUGGGUUAACCAUUAUGCAUCUGUUUAUGUUGGGUUUUGACAAAGGAGCAGAUUUAAAGCUGAUUUUAAAUGAAAGUCAGACAUACCAUGAUAUUAUCCAAAAAGACUUUAAGGAGGCGUAUAACAACUUGACUUUCAAAACUAUUAUGGGAAUGGAAUGGAUCUCCACCUACUGUCCUCAAUCAAAGUAUGUCAUGAAAACUGACAGUGACAUGUUUGUGAACACUGAAUAUCUACUGGAUAUGCUUCAACCAAACCUACCACCGAAACAAAAUUUCUUCACUGGUGCUUUUUUCAAAGAUCCUGUUCCUCAUAGAUCAAAAGAAAGCAAAUGGUAUGUUCCAUAUUCUGUUUAUCCAGAGAGCC